rnacentral:rRNA from 1 species
GAUAGGCUGGAAACGGCUGCUAAUACUGGAUAUUCAGGCUGCAUCGCAUGGUGUGGUUUGGAAAGGUUUUUUCUGGAAUGGGGUGGGCUCGCGGCCUAUCAGCUUGUUGGUGGGGUGAUGGCUUACCAAGGCUUUGACGGGUAGCCGGCCUGAGAGGGUGGUCGGUCGCACUGGGACUGAGAUACGGCCCAGACUCCUACGGGAGGCAGCAGCC